rnacentral:rRNA from 1 species
UACGUAGGGGGCAAGCGUUGUCCGGAAUCAUUGGGCGUAAAGCGCGUGUAGGCGGCCCGGUAAGUCCGCUGUGAAAGUCGGGGGCUCAACCCUCGGAUGCCGGUGGAUACUGUCGGGCUAGAGUGCGGGAGAGGCGAGUGGAAUUCCUGGUGUAGCGGUGAAAUGCGCAGAUAUCAGGAGGAACACCAAUUGCGAAGGCAGCUCGCUGGAACGUUACUGACGUUGAGACGCGAAAGCGUGGGGAGCAAACAGG